rnacentral:rRNA from 1 species
UAGUCCACGCCGUAAACGAUGAUUACUCGCUGUAGGCGAUACACAGUCUGUGGCUAAGCGAAAGUUUUAAGUAAUCCACCUGGGGAGUACGAUCGCAAGAUUGAAACUCAAAGGAAUUGACGGGGGCCCGCACAAGCGGUGGAGCAUGUGGUUUAAUUCGAUGCAACGCGAAGAACCUUACCUACCCUUGACAUCCUCAGAACUUGUUAGAGAUAACUUGGUGCCUUCGGGAAUUGAGAGACAGGUGCUGCAUGGCUGUCGUCAGCUCGUGUCGUGAGAUGUUGGGUUAAGUCCCGCAACGAGCGCAACCCUUGUCCCUAGUUGCCAGCACAUAAUGGUGGGAACUCUAGGGAGACUGCCGGUGUCAAGCCGGAGGAAGGUGGGGACGACGUCAAGUCAUCAUGCCCCUUAUGUCCAGGGCUGCAAACAUGCUACAAUGGCCGGUACAACGGGCAGCGACACCGCGAGGUGAAGCGAAUCCCUUAAAGCCGGUCUCAGUUCGGA